ACGCUCGACACCUACGGAGGCAGCAGUGGGGAAUAUUGCACAAUGGGGGAAACCCUGAUGCAGCGACGCCGCGUGAGUGAAGAAGUAUUUCGGUAUGUAAAGCUCUAUCAGCAGGGAAGAAAAUGACGGUACCUGACUAAGAAGCCCCGGCUAACUACGUGCCAACAGCCGCGGUAAUCUGAGCGGGCUGGCAAGGC
rnacentral:rRNA from 1 species